rnacentral:rRNA from 1 species
AUUGAACGCUGGCGGCAGGCCUAACACAUGCAAGUCGAGCGGAUGACGGGAGCUUGCUCCUUGAUUCAGCGGCGGACGGGUGAGUAAUGCCUAGGAAUCUGCCUGGUAGUGGGGGACAACGUUUCGAAAGGAACGCUAAUACCGCAUACGUCCUACGGGAGAAAGCAGGGGACGUUCGGGCCUUGCGCUAUCAGAUGAGCCUAGGUCGGAUUAGCUAGUGGGUGGGGUAAUGGCUCACCAAGGCGACGAUCCGUACCUGGUCUGAGAGGAUGAUCAGUCACACUGGAACUGAGACACGGUCCAGACUCCUACGGGAGGCAGCAGUGGGGAAUAUUGGACAAUGGGCGAAAGCCUGAUCCAGCCAUGCCGCGUGUGUGAAGAAGGUCUUCGGAUUGUAAAGCACUUUAAGUUGGGAGGAAGGGCAGUAAGUUAAUACCUUGCUGUUUUGACGUUACCGGCAGAAUAAGCACCGGCUAACUCUGUGCCAGCCGCCGCAGUAA